ensembl:misc_RNA Metazoa_SRP Metazoan signal recognition particle RNA
GCCGGGCGCGGUGGCUCAUGCCUGUAAUCUCAGCACUUUGGGAGGCUGAGACGGGUGGAUCACCUGAGGUCAGGAGUUUGAGACCAGCCUGACCAAUAUGGUGAAACCCCGUCUCUA